GACAGAGGUGCCGAGCGUUAGGCGGAAUCACUGGGCUUAAAGCGCGCGUAGGCGGACCUGCAAGUCGGGGGUGAAAGCCCGAGGCUCAACCUCGGAACUGCCUUCGAUACUGCGGGUCUCGAGUCCGGGAGAGGUGAGUGGAAUUCCUAGUGUAGAGGUGAAAUUCGUAGAUAUUAGGAAGAACACCAGUGGCGAAGGCGGCUCACUGGCCCGGUACUGACGCUGAGGCGCGAAAGCGUGGGGAGCAAACAGG
rnacentral:rRNA from 1 species